GAUUUGAUAAAAGAUCUCAGAAAUUAAAUGAAUAAUUCAGAUAAAAAAAAUCAUAUCAAAAGAACCCAUAACUUUAAAAGAAAAAUUGUCCUAAACCCUGCAAAUUUAAAUCAAGAAUUCCAAAAAAAGGUAAAUCGAUCUGAUAAAGACAUGAGUAAAUUAAUUUCAUAAAUAUGAAAUCAUAAGCAUGCCAUUCCUAAUACUUUUGUUGGUAUGAACAUGAACAUAUGGAUGCCUA
rnacentral:lncRNA from 1 species